UUAACUCAAAUUUGUAGGCAGUUGGAACAGCGCCUCUAGCGGCAAACGUUCCAACUCCAUACAAAUAUGAGUUA
rnacentral:pre_miRNA from 1 species